GCCUGGCUGGUUCAGUCGGGAGAGCAUGUGACUCUUGAUCUUGGGGUUGUGGGUUCGAGCCCUUCGUUGGGUA
rnacentral:tRNA from 1 species